AGCAAAGUUCUGUCAUGCACUGACCACAUAGUAUACAAAGCCGAAGUGUACGACAGAAGCUUUGACUUGGGAGAACUUGGGGUUCGAGAUCCUCGCACGGCAGGAGCCCCCCCGGAGCGGCAGAUCAUUUCCUGAAGACGAAAAGUUGGGAUUUUUUGACAUUAAAGCAAAAACGCACACGGCUCUCAGAUUAUUUCGACAGCCAGCAGCAAAACGCCAGCGAGGCAGGCACAGCGUAACGUUUGAGAGACGUCCAUGUAUGUGAAACGGCGCAGGCAGGAUGCCUAAGACUUCUGCACACAGUGUUAAAUUUGUCAACAUGGAGCGGAGAGCGAGUUUGUAAAUCUGGCGGGAGCAAAGGAUGUUGGGAAUGCACGAUACAUAAAAUUACUACAGUACUGUAAAAGUCUUGGGCACCCCUGUUGUGCCUAAGUACUGUAAGAUGAGGCGCGCCCGCCAGUCCUCACUGAAGGAUCAGGAAUAGAGACAGUGGGCAAUUUCAAAUUCCUGGGUGUCAACAUCUCUGAGGGUCAAUCCCAGGCCCAACUUAUCGAUAUACCUACAAAGAAGGCACGUCGUGGCUGUCUUUCAUUCGGAGUUUGAGGAGAUCAGAAACUUCUACAGAUGCUGCCUGGCCUGCUGUGUUCCACCAGCAUUUCGUGUGUGUUGUUGUCUGAAUUUCCAGCACCUGCAGAUUUCCCUGGUGUUGGCAGAAAGUUUGUAAACUCAGUCAGUUCCAUCGUGGGCAUCGGCCUGCCCCAGCAUCCAGGACGAGACCUUGGAAGAAGCUACGUGACAAUUUUAACACCGUAAAGCAGCGAGUCGUUUUGUUAUGUCACCCCUCUAGCUGUGAAAACGGGGACAUCUCUUUUUCCCUUAUUAGGGAGGGGGACAGAGCCUGUGGUGAUGUCUCAAAACGGCAGCGUCCAUCAUUAAGGACCCCCACCACCCAGGGACGUGCCCUCUUCUCAUUGCUACCAUCAGGGAGGAGGUACAGGAGCCUGAAGGCACACACUCAACGAUUCAGGAACAGCUUCUUCCCCUCUGCCAUCAGGGAGGGGGUACAGGAGCCUGAAGACACACACUCAAUGAUUCAGGAACAGCUUCUUCCCCUCUGCCAUCAGGGAGGAGGCACAGGAGCCUGAAGGCACACACUCAACGAUUCAGGAACAGCUUCUUCCCCUCUGCCAUCAGGGAGGAGGUACAGGAGCCUGAAGACACACACUCAACGAUUCAGGAACAGCUUCUUCCCCUCUGCCAUCAGGGAGGAGGUACAGGAGCCUGAAGACACACUCUCAACGAUUCAGGAACAGCUUCUCCCCUCUGCCAUCAGGGAGGAGGUACAGGAGCCUGAAGGCACACACUCAACGAUUCAGGAACAGCUUCUUCCCCUCUGCCAUCAGGGAGUAGGUACAGGAGCCUGAAGACACACACUCAACGAUUCAGGAACAGCUUCUUCCCCUCUGACACCAGAUUUCUGAAUGGACAAUGAACCUGUGAACACCACCUCACUACUUUUUUGUUCUCUUUUUGCACAACUUACUGAAUAUAGAUGUUUAAAUAAAUAAAUAUACUAUGAUGCACAGUUUUAUAUUACAGUAUUUUGUGUUGUAAUAUAGUGCCGUUGCAUAACAACAAAUUUCAUGACAUAUCCUAGCACUGUUAAACCGGAUCUCGAUGAUUUAUUUUUAAUUUUUAUAUGUACGCUUAUUUGAUUUCAUUUACAUUUUUGGUUUAAUUCAAGUGUUUUUGUAAUUUACUGUUUUUAUCGUUAUGUACUGCAUUGAACUGCUGCUGCAGAGGUGAUAUUAAACCCGAUUCUGAUGUGCAA